GAUGAACGCUGGCGGCGUGCCUAAUACAUGCAAGUCGAGCGAACGGACGAGAAGCUUGCUUCUCUGAUGUUAGCGGCGGACGGGUGAGUAACACGUGGAUAACCUACCUAUAAGACUGGGAUAACUUCGGGAAACCGGAGCUAAUACCGGAUGAUAUUUUGAACCGCAUGGUUCAAAAGUGAAAGACGGUCUUGCUGUCACUUAUAGAUGGAUCCGCGCUGCAUUAGCUAGUUGGUAAGGUAGCGGCUUACCAAGGCAACGAUGCAUAGCCGACCUGAGAGGGUGAUCGGCCACACUGGAACUGAGACACGGUCCAGACUCCUACGGGAGGCAGCAGUAGGGAAUCUUCCGCAAUGGGCGAAAGCCUGACGGAGCAACGCCGCGUGAGUGAUGAAGGUCUUCGGAUCGUAAAACUCUGUUAUUAGGGAAGAACAUAUGUGUAAGUAACUGUGCACAUCUUGACGGUACCUAAUCAGAAAGCCACGGCUAACUACGUG
rnacentral:rRNA from 1 species